GUUCUAUUUAACUCCACCUGAGUGCCUCCGUCAGCGCUUCAUCAUUUUUCUUUUUGGACGGAUGUGGAUCGGACGGGUUUUGUUCACAGGUUGACGUGUAUGUGUAUUUUGAGGACCAACAGCGAUGCGUGCUGCGUCGAAGCCCGCUCCAAGAUGGCGGCCAGGAGGCGGGGACGUCGAGUGAGCAGCGAGAUGGGCCGCGCCGAGAGCGACGCGGCGAACGCGACCAGGCGCGCGGAUCGGCACCUGGUCACAAUCAGCUAAUCCCCUCGCAGCAGUUAAAGGAACAGCGACGGUGGAGAAGCUGAGGCGCAUGCAACGAGAGACGGAGAAAGGAAGCGGACACAACGAGAGGCUGAUGCGGAGCGAGAACGGAAGAGAAGGAGACGAACCCGCGAACGACGGCGACGGGCUGCUGAAAAGCAGACUGAGGACGGGAGGAAAACCAUUCGUGUGCUCACGCGAGGAAAAGGCAGCUGCUGAAAAGCACGUAAAGACUUUAUUGAAAUAAUAAAGAUGUCACAACAAUGUCUUCCUUGGAUGGUCCUGCCAACCCACCUGGAAGCAAGAGUCUUCCACAGUGGGUAUUUUGUAUAUGGUUUUUACAGGGUUGACGUGUAUUUUGUAUAUGUGUUUUUCAGGGUUGACGUAUGUGUAUUUUGUAUGUUUUUUUUUUUUUUACAGGGUUGACGUGUAUAUAUGUGUAUUUUGUAUGUUUUUUUUUACAGGGUUGACGUGUAUAUAUGUGUGUAUUUUGUAUGUUUUGUUUUUUUUACAGGGUUGACGUGUAUAUAUGUGUGUAUUUUGUAUGUUGUUUUUUUUAACAGGGUUGACUUGUAUAUAUGUGUAUUUUGUAUGGUUUUUUUUAACAGGGUUGAUGUGUAUUGUAUGUUUUGUUUAACAGGAUUGAUGUGUAUAUACUGUGUGUAUUUUGUAUGUUUUUUUUAACAGGGUUGACUUGUAUAUAUGUGUAUUUUGUAUAUGGUUUUUUAACAGGGUUGAUGUGUAUUGUAUGUUUUUUUUAGCAGGGUUGACGUGUAUAUACUGUAUGUGUAUUUUGUAUGUUUUUUUAAACAGGAUUGACGUGUAUAUACUGUGUGUAUUUUGUAUGUUUUUUUUAACAGGAUUGACGUGUAUAUACUGUAUGUGUAUUUUGUAUGUUUUUUUAACAGUGUUGACGUGUAUAUACUGUAUGUGUAUUUUGUAUGUUUUUUUAACAGGGUUGACGUGUAUAUGUGUAUUGUAUGUUUUGUUUAACAGGGUUGACGUGUAUAUACUGUAUGUUUUUUUUAACAGGGUUGACGUGUGUAUUUUGUAUAUGGUUUUUUACAGGGUUGACGUGUAUGUGUGUUUUGUAUAUGUUUUUUUUUUUAACAGGAUUGACGUGUAUAUGUGUAUUUUGAAUGUUUUUUUUACAGGGUUGACGUGUGUGUAUUGUAUAUGUUUUUUUUACAGGGUUGUGUGUAUUUUGUAUGUUUUUUUAACAGGGUUGACGUGUGUGUUGUAUAGUUUUUUUUACAGGGUUGACGUGUAUGUGUGUUUUGUAUGUUUUUUUGUUUUUUUUACAGGGUUGACUUGUAUAUAUGUUGGCGUGUGUAUUUUGUGUAUGGUUUUUAACAGGGUUGACGUGUAUAUAUGUGUAUUUUGUAUGUUUUUUUUUUUAACAGGGUUGACGUGUGUGUAUUGUAUGUUUUUUUACAGGGUAACGUGUAUAUGUGUGUAUUUUGUAUGUUUUUUUUUUAAACAGGGUUGACAUGUGUGUAUUGUAUAUGGUUUUUAACAGGGUUGACGUGUGUAUUUUGUAUAUGGUUUUUUACAGGGUUGAUGUGUAUAUGUGUAUUUUGCAUGUUUUUUUUUAACAGGGUUGACGUGUGUAUUUUGUAUAUGGUUUCUAACAGGGUUGGCGUAUGUGUAUUUUGUAUAUGGUUUUUUACAGGGUUGACGUAUGUGUGUGUGUAUUUUGUAUAUGUUUUUUUACUGGGUUAACUUGUGUGUGUAUUGUAUGUUGUUUUAUUUUUUUUACAGGGUUGUGUAUUUUGUAUAUGGUUUUGUUUUACAGGGUUGACGUGUGUGUAUAUAUGUAUGUAUUUUGUAUAUGAAAACACAACCCUUACACAAUGUUAUGGGUCACACUCCUCCUGCUGUGCACGCUGUUGAGCGGGCCACACCAACGGGCGUUCCCUCUCCGCUGCGGGCGUGCCUCCGCAAGAGAUCUGCAAUCAACACACCUGCCCGUGAUGAGCGACCCGCCUUCAUAAGCCAGCGCGUCUUGAGAUCCGGUGCCAGAACGUAGCUUCUCCUACCAGUACACUUCCUCGUCCUCGAGUUGCGUGUCUCGUCUACCUGGACUCCCUUUGGAUUCCCUCUUGCCUUCCUGGACUAAGACCUCGCUCCUGCCCCGUGACGUCUGAGCCUGCUUUUCCCCUUGUGGUCUUCUGCCUCCAUCUCAACACGCACACUCAACACCCUCUGGUGACCACGCUCAGAUAAUACUUACACAUAGUCGCACUACAUCUCUUUAAGCUAAUCACACACUGCACUCAC